GCACUCAAGGCCAAGUGGUUAAGGCAAUGGACUAGAAAUCCACUGGGGUCUCCCCGCACAGGUUCUAAUCCUGUCGACUGCG
rnacentral:tRNA from 1 species